rnacentral:lncRNA from 1 species
UGCAUACGGAGGUUCCCAGGCUAGGGGUAGAAUCGGAGCAACAGCUGCUGGCCUACAUCACAGCCACAGUAACGCCAGGUCCAAGACUCAUCUGCAACCUACACCACAGCUCACGGUAAUGCCGAUCCUUAACCCACUGAGCAAGGCCAGGGAUCGAUCGCACAACCUCAUGGUUCCUAGUCAAAUUUGUUUCUGCUGUGCUAUGACGGGAACUCCAAAUAGAGAGUUCUAAUUGACAGGAGUUUUGUCUCAUGGAUGAGAAGACGCCUAGUCCACGUCUACUGCCAGGCUUAAGGGGUUGGACUUCAUCUUUUGAAGAGAAUCAAGGGAGCUGGGUCUUCUUGAGUGUGUGGAUUCCAUCUUUCCCUUUGAAUCACACUUGGUCCUCAGGGAAGGCAGAUGAGCAAAGAAAACCUAAGGAUGUACUUCAGACAUGGCUGUGAUGUUUAUGGGAUGGUAGGUGAAAAUAGAAAAUCUGGAUGUGGUUUAAGUUUGGGGACGAGAAAUUGAGCACUCAUGAAUCCGAGGCCCAGAGCACUGCGCUUCUUUGAAAGCUGAGCUGUGAAGACUUUCUUUGCUAAGAUGUUAGCUUAGAGGUGAGGGAUGGAAAUGUUUCAGGAUGGCGAGUUGAAAGGUUAGGGUUUGGAUUAGGAAAGGCCACACUGCAGUUGGGUAUGUUACUGUCAGAAGGACCUAACUCCCCAUCCUUACGCUUCCAUAAGGAAACAUUAGCUCCACUCUCCCCACGGGGAAACAUCCCUGAGUGAUGCUUCCUCUCCCUGCUGAUUCUCAGGGAAAAUGUUAGGAAGCCCAUUUGGCUGCAGGUCUCAUCUCUCUCCACUGGCUGCCAAGAUAAUGUUUGAUCGCAUCUUCCUGACAUGUAUUUCUAGACUCUGUUGGCUCAGAUCAUGGGAGGGAGAGUGGGAGAUUUAUUGCCCUGCCUCAGACCAACCCAGCUGCCAGGUACAGCCUGGGGUUUUUGUACAUCAUCUCAUUUCAUCUCAAAACACUCUGGGAGACAAGUGUGUUUAAUCUCCAUUUAACUACCUCAUUUAAUCCUUACAACAACUUUAUGGGAUAUUUAAAACUAACCUUAGUGCAGAGAUAAAGAAACUGAGGCUUAGAGCACUUAAUUAAGCCACUCUGCUGGGCAGUGACAAAGCUGAGUGUGAACCUGGUUAUUUAUUUAUUUAUUUAUUUAUUUAUUUAUUUAUUUAUUUUUGUCUCUUUAGGGCUACACCCAAGGCAUAUGGAGAUUCUCAGGCUAGGGGUUGAAUUGGAGCUAUAGCCGCCAGCCUAUACCACAGCCACGGGUCUGAGCCGCGUCUGUGACCUACACCACAGCUCUUGGCAACACCGGAUCCUUAACCUACUGAGCAAGGCCAGGGAUCAAACCUGCGUCCUCGUCCCCAUGGAUGCUAAUCAGACUCAUUUCCACUGAGCCACGACAGGAACUCCAAUCCAGUUCCCUUGAUAGCAAACAAAGCCCAGGCCCCUCCUCCUGGCCACACAGCUCCUGUCAGCUCGUUGUCUCCCCCAGCUCUCCCUGCAAACACUUUUCAGAGGCAGUUACCAAGUACCACAAGGCUAGCUCGAUGACAACCCUGGUCAUGAUCCCAUUCAUUCAGCAGUGAGCCAAAGGUCCUUUCCCACCUUAGGAAAUUAGCACUUUCCUGGAGCUGCCCUGGAUGCUGACACAGCAGUUAAGGCCACAGUGAUGGACAAAAGCAACUGACUUCACAGAGGUCGAUUUUGCCGACUCUAUUUCAAGUCUUGACUAGCACUAGAGGCUCUUUUUUUGUUUGUUUUUCUUUUUCUUUUUAUGGCUGCACCUGCAACAUAUGUAAAUUCCCAGGCUAGGGGUCGAAUGUGAGCUGGGAGCUGGAGCUGCAGCUGCCAGCCUACGCCACAGCCACGGCAACACGGAUUGGAGCUGCAUGUGUGACCUAUGCCGCAGCAUGGGGCAACACCAGAGCCUUAACCCACUGAUCGAGAUAGGGGAUCAAACCCUUAUCCUCAUGGAGAUUGCGUUGGGCACCUGCUGAGCUACAAUGGGAACUCUGAUACAGGCUCAUUUUUUCACCAACACAAGCCCCUUACCGUGUUACUCCAUUUGCUAAUAAACAAAUUCCUCAGGAACAGAUUCUGGGACCAGACUGGAGUUUUUGACUUGGUGUACAUCAGGUCCCCAUGCCCUGUGAUCGCCACCCCUGCCUCAUUCCAGUUCCUGCUGGGCCUGGGGAAGAAUUCUUGCUCAGCACAGGCAGGAGAUAAGGCCAAUUUUGGAGGCUGCUUGGUCCAGGUCCUCUGGGAUUUAAACCCAUUAAGGCUGGACUCCUCCUGUUUCCUUCUGUAAUCUCCCUUGUAACUUUCCAAUUUGAAUUUGUUUAAAUUGUCGCUAGAUUGUACAGCUUUGCUUCAAAAGACUUGUUCCAUUGUGAAAUAAAAAGAGUUUUCUUAAUAUGUAAAUGCUAUGCAAAUCAUGUCUUCCCCUUCCAAACCCAAUCCCAGCCGCUCUGCUCUGAUUGCUGCGGUUCAGAGGACGCCUGAUCACAGAGGAGCAGAAAUCUGGGGCAGAUGUUACCAUGACUACCACUCACUGAGCAGUUACUCUGUGCCAGAAACUGUGCCAAGACCACUGUAUGCAUCAUCUCGUUGUCCUUCACUACAGCCCAGAGGGUUAGAUAUUAUUGAUAUUUGUAUUUUCAUAGAGAGAUUGAGUAACUUGCUCAACAGUACAUAGCUUCUGGCAGGGCCAGGGCUGUUCCGCCGUUUGCAAAACCGAAAUCCACUGUCCUUUCCAGGAAGAUGUUUCCUUAGCCAAGUUCAAGGAUAUGGGGCUCGAGGGUAGAUGAACUGAAAGGGGAAGGGUUGAAUCGCCUUCACUGGAUUCCUUCAGAAGAGCAGGCAUAAAACCCAGUACCAUAUCCUGAGUACUAGAAAGGGUAGAGACUCUGAAAUCAGAGACCUGGGUUCAAUAUUACCCCUGGCACUUACAACUGCGCAACUGCAGGCAAUGUAUUCACCCGAACUUAUCCCGAUCCUCACCUGUCAAGUGGAAGGAAUAACCAUGGGUAUUAUUUUUUUUUUAUUUUUUUCCUUUUUUUUUUUUUUUAAUUUUCCCACUGUACAGCAAGGGGGUCAGGUUACCAUGGAUAUUACUGCAAUUCCCUCAUUUAUUCAUUCAAAAAAUAUUUAUAGAGUGGCUCCACAGUCAUUUAUAGCUUUUAUUCCAUAAGCACAGUACCUAGGGCUUAAGAGUUUUUCAAGUGCUUACAAGAAUAUUUAACACCUAAAAUAAUAAAAUGAUUACUUCUAAGAUAAGAAGUAACUCCCAGGAGAUUCAAACUUAAUAAAUGCAGAGUUCCCAUGAUGGCUCAGCAGUUAAUGAACCUGACUAGUAUCCAUGAGGACUUGAGUUCGAUUCCUGGCCUCGAUCAGUGGGUUAAGGAUCCGGCGUUGCUGUAAGCUGUGGUGUAGGUCAUAGACAUGGCUCAGAUCCCAUGUUGCUGUGGCUGUGGUGUAUGUAGGCCGGCAGUUGUAGUUCCGAUUGGACCCCUAGCCUUGGAACAUCCGCAUGCCCCUGGUGAGGGCCUAAAAAGACCAAAAAAAAAAAAAAAAAAA